GGGGGGGGCACUGGAGGGGCUUUGAGGUCCCUUCCCACCCAAACCAGUCUGGGAUUCGAUGAUUACCCUUGAUUUUGUACUUUAAAAGGAAUAGUGUGGGAAUUGGGUAGACACCAGCUGUGGGGUUCAUGCUUUUGUGACUCAUGAGCAGAAAGACUGUCCUCUGAAAGGGAUUUUGAUGCCUCAUCGUGUCUGUCCUCAUGUUUGAAAAACGUAGAUUUGUUCCAUCACAGGAACCGAUCAGGACGAAAGGAAGAUCAUGUGAACUUUAUGGACCUGAUUUGGAGCUAGAAGUGCAGGAGAAAACCUGAAGUCUUGGCUCAGCAGUGUCCAGCUUUCAGCUGGCUGGGAAGGAGGAGCUGAAUGCGCUGGCAACGCCGUGCUGUAAGAAACACGGACUAAGGGCUGCCUUUCUAACGCUCAAUCUCAAAUGGUAAUAGGGAGACAGGAGAGGAUGACGGGAGGCUGCCUCGGACCAGAAUGCCCUAUCCUUAAAGAAUUUGUCUACAUCAAGGCAACGUGGAGAUGAGACUGGAGUUAACUGGGAUCUGUUAAUUGAAUCUGGCCUCUUUGUCAGAGCAGAGAAAGCCCUAACUGGGCCUGUGACUUAGUUCUUAGAUUUUUGAAAGGCAUUUUGGUACCUGAACCUCACCUGUAUGGUCUAAUCGCAAGGUGGUUUGCUACAGAAUUUAAGGAUCUGCAAGAAUUUUUGUCAUUAAUCCACAACAAAAGACGGCAGAACAUCUAAAACUGGCCAAGACAACCCCUGCUUCUUGGCGACCAUUCCCAGCUACUGAUUUGUGGAAAGAGUGUAACGGUCAUAACACAAAACCCCUUGGAUAAAGGCUGUAAAAUGCUGUUUACAUAUCUGGAGUGACCUCCUCACCAAUUCGCUUAAAACCUUCACAUUUCACAUAAAAUUUUGCAGAAAAUAUUUAUAUUCCUGCACUGUCCUUGCCUGCAGUCAGUUGCUAUCAGAUGGGGUUGCUUGCUGUUGUGGCCGUGUCAUUUGUCAGUCAAAAAGCCAGUGAUUAAUAUCUUCCAGCUUGACUGACAUCCAAUUUGGGGACUGAAUGACCUUCAGAUGGUAAUUUAAGACUCAGAACUCCAGGCUUAAUGUAAAUCCUGAGUGGAAUAACAUGAUGGCUCACAUCCUUAAGAUAAAUCAAUUGAUACGUGAUUAUUUUAGGCCACAAAUAUUUCCUUAGCUCACUGGAUGAAUGAUUUGUUUUUACUUUAUCCAAAAUUUUUCUGUUUUAAACCCCUGGAAGUGACUAUUAAAUAAGCUGGAGUGAGGUAUGGAUAGAGAGCAGAAUGCAUCUUAGCACAGUCCCCUUUCUAACUCAUCUCCCUGGCAAGUUCACGGUUAUGGUUAACAAGGCCAAGCCACUAGAGGCGAUGAAGGCAUCUCACCAGGUACACAGGGACACGAUUUGCCCAGAGAAAAAAGUCAAAUGGUUGAGUAUGAGCUGGUGGUGCCACCUCACCAUAAACUGGGCAAGUGGCAUGCUGGCUACGGGAGGAAAAAUUACCAUUCCUCCUGUAUUUGGCACUGUUGGGGCCUCGCCUUGAAUAAAGAUUUAAUCUGAGCUCCCUCCAGUUCAAGAGGGAUGGGGAGAAACUGGAGAGAGCCAGCACAGGAUUACCGAGAUGCUCGAGGUCCUGGAGUUCAGGCUGGACAGCAGGGAAAACCCCUCCAGGUGCCGGUGAGCACCAGUUACCCAGGCUGGGGGGAAUCUCCAGGCUGGGGUGAUUUCAGGACCAUGAACCCAGCCUAAUGCUGCUGGCAGCGCUGCUUGAAGGGAGAUUAACUAGAGACCUCCCCAUGGCUCUUCCAGCUGACGCCUCUACAACUCUGACUCUCAGUGUCAAUCCUGCAGGCCACUAACAUCACGGGUUGGAGCGUGCACCAUAUUCCAUUUCAGUAAAAUAAGCAAGCUUUAACUCUGGGAGUCAGUUUGAGAUUCACUGAGGAGGUGGAGAAGUGGUCUUUCAUCUUAGACCUUGGACUGGCCUACCUCUUUCACAUCCUCAGUAAGAGAUUUUUCUCCAAAGACUAGUCCACAAUGAGAAGUUGCUCCUCUCCCUCUGCUCAGUUCAGCCUUGUCUUGUACAACCCUUUAUGCUGCACAUUUUUGCCCAUUAAUCUGUUUCGGCUCCAUCAUCUAGCUGUCGUCCACUGCAGGGGCCAUGAGAAUUAAGGUGCACAAACACCCUUAAGGACGUCGGCCUCAACUUUCUUUUGUCCCUGGCAUGGCAUCCACUGAUGGUGGCUUUCCCACACAGACACAUACUACGACUUUCCACAUUCUCUUCCCUUAGAAACAGGAACAUAUGAUGC